GACAAAGUUUUGAGUGAAGUCAAUGCCUGAUGGUUAUUUUUUGUAGAGAAAUCGUUUUUAAAUCCACCAAUAGUCGCUGCUAAUCUAUAAAGUCAUAUCUUUUACCAACUCAACAGACGUCCGAAAUGUUCAAGAUGCAAGAUUAUCUAGAGCUUAUAACAAUCCUUACCACCCAGAAGAUGAUAUUGAAGAAUCAGAUGUAGACGGUGAUAACCUCAAAAAUGAGUUUAAAAUAAGUGUAGAGGAAGACAAAAAAGUGGUUCCAGAGAAGAGAUUAAAGAUCAACGGACGGUAUUACGAUGUGACGAAACCCGAUCAUAAAGAGAACAGAGUGGUUAUUUUCAAAUUAAUAUAAAUAUAUUCCUACUGUUGUA